rnacentral:rRNA from 1 species
GUCGGUAAAACUCGUGCCAGCCACCGCGGUUAUACGAGAGGCUCAAGUUGAUAGACAUCGGCGUAAAGAGUGGUUAGGAAGUCUUUUAAACUAAAGCCGAACACCCUCAGAACUGUUAUACGUACCCGAGGGAAAGAAGCCCCACUACGAAAGUGGCUUUAUAUCUCCGACCCCACGAAAGCUGCGAAACAAACUGGGAUUAGAUACCCCACUAUG